CUCUUGUCUAACGAAUUAUCCUCCUACAGAUCCAAAAUCAAUAUUAAAAUAAAAUCUAUGGUGUAAGGACUAUCUAUCUAGAACCCUCUAUCGGGUUCACUAUAAUCCAUCGACAAGUCCCUCAAAUUUUUCAUCUAAAAUUUUCUUAAUCCAUAUAAGAUAGAGAGAAAGUAAAUAAAUAAAUGAUUAAAUAAUUAAUUAAUCAAUUAAUCGAACAACUAGAGAAGAGAGAGAGAUCCUCCUCUCUCUUCUUCUCUUUUUCUCCAAAAUAGGGGACACCC
rnacentral:lncRNA from 1 species